rnacentral:RNase_P_RNA from 1 species
CAAGAAUAACAGGUGAUCGCCGGUCACCAUAGUGACGGGAGGAAAGUCCGAGCUCCAUCGGGCAGGGUGCUGGAUAACGACCAGUCGGGGUGACCCGAAGGCAAGUGCAACAGAGAGUAGACCGCCACCUACGGGUCCGGUUUGGCUUCAGACCCAUCCAUUUGGUCGAGGUUUGGAGACAGUCGGGGUUCUUUUCGAAGAAUCGGUAAGGCUGAAAGGGUGCGGUAAGAGCGCACCGGCAUCUCUGGAGACAGAGGUGGCCAGGUAAACCCCAUCCGGAGCAAGGCCAAAUAGCGAGAUGUUUGAGGGUGCCCGCCUGAGAUCUCCGGGUUGGCUGCUUGAGUCUGUUGGUAACAGCAGACCUAGAUGAAUGAUCACCACUGUGGCGAGGGAGACCGAGCCAUAGAACAGGACUCGGCUUAUGGUGUUCUUGAGCC